CCUACGGGGGACUGCAGUGAGGAAUAUUGGUCAAUGGACGAGAGUCUGAACCAGCCAAGUAGCGUGAAGGAUGACUGCCCUAUGGGUUGUAAACUUCUUGUAUAAAGGAAUAAAACGAGGCACGUGUGCCUUUUUGCAUGUACUUUAUGAAUAAGGAUCGGCUAACUCCGUGCCAGCAGCCGCGGUAAUACGGAGGAUCCGAGCGUUAUCCGGAUUUAUUGGGUUGAAAGCGAGCGUAGAUGGGUUGUUCAGUCAGUUGUGCAAGUUGGCGGCUCAACCGUAAAAUUGCUAUUGAUACUGGCAGUCUUGAGUACAGUUGAGGUCGGCGGCCUUCGUGGUGUAGCGGUGAAAUGCUUAGAUCUCCC
rnacentral:rRNA from 1 species